CAGUCGCCGCGGUAAAACGUAGGGUGCAAGCGUUAAUCGGAAUUACUGGGCGUAAAGCGUGCGCAGGCGGCUAUGCAAGACAGAUGUGAAAUCCCCGGGCUCAACCUGGGAACUGCAUUUGUGACUGCAUGGCUAGAGUACGGUAGAGGGGGAUGGAAUUCCGCGUGUAGCAGUGAAAUGCGUAGAUAUGCGGAGGAACACCGAUGGCGAAGGCAAUCCCCUGGACCUGUACUGACGCUCAUGCACGAAAGCGUGGGGAGCAAACAGGAUUAGAGACCCGCGUAGUCCCUGUCUCUUAUAA
rnacentral:rRNA from 1 species